UACGUAGGGCGCAAGCGUUGUCCGGAAUUACUGGGCGUAAAGCGCACGUAGGCGGUCUUUUAAGUCGGGGGUGAAAUCCUGGAGCUCAACUCCAGAACUGCCUUCGAUACUGGAAGACUCGAGUCCGGGAGAGGUGAGUGGAACUGCGAGUGUAGAGGUGAAAUUCGUAGAUAUUCGCAAGAACACCAGUGGCGAAGGCGGCUCACUGGCCCGGUACUGACGCUGAGGUGCGAAAGCGUGGGGAGCAAACAGG
rnacentral:rRNA from 1 species